rnacentral:lncRNA from 1 species
UAGAAAGGGAAUAUUCAACUCUGUGAUAUGAAUGCAGAUAUCACAAAGAAGUUUCUGAGAGUGCUUCUGCCUAGGUUUUAUAUGAAGAUAUUCCCGUUUCCAACGAAAUAGUUAGGGCUAUCCAUAUAUCAACAUGCAAAUUCUAUAAAAAGAGUGUUUCCAAACUGCUGUAUCAUAAGAAAGGUUGAACUCUGUUAGUUGAGGACACACAUCACAAAGACGUUUCUGAGAAUGCUUCUGUCUAGUUUUUAUGUAGAGAUAUUUCCUUUUUCAACAUAGGCCUGAAAUCGAUCGAAAUGUCCACUUCCAGAUACUACAGAAAGAGUGUUUCAAACCUGCUCUAUUGAAGGGAAUAUUCAACUCUGUGACUUAAAAGCAAACAUCACAAAGAAUCUCCUGAGAAUGCUGCUGUCUACUUUCUUUNN